UAUAAUAGACAUUCUCAUUGAUCAUAUAGCCGAUCAUGAGAUAGUCUUUCCUAGAUGGAUUUUCCAACUAUAAUUGGAUUGGAAUGGCAAAGAAAGAUAUAGAGAAGGCUCUAUUUACUACUUCCUAGGGUGUCUUUUGCUUUAGAUUCUUGCUUUUGGGUUGAAAAAUGCUGGAACCACUUAUUAGAGAGCUACGACCUUGCUUUUUCAUGAUAUGAUGUACAAGGAGAUUG
rnacentral:lncRNA from 1 species